UACGAAGGGGGCUAGCGUUGCUCGGAUUGACUGGGCGUAAAGGGCGCGUAGGCGGUUCGUACAGUCAGACGUGAAAUUCCUGGGCUCAACCUGGGGGCUGCGUUUGAUACGUGCGGGCUUGAGUUCGGAAGAGGGUCGUGGAAUUCCCAGUGUAGAGGUGAAAUUCGUAGAUAUUGGGAAGAACACCGGUAGCGAAGGCGGCGACCUGGUCCGAUACUGACGCUGAGGCGCGAAAGCGUGGGGAGCAAACAGG
rnacentral:rRNA from 1 species